rnacentral:rRNA from 1 species
UACGUAGGGUGCGAGCGUUGUCCGGAAUUAUUGGGCGUAAAGAGCUCGUAGGCGGUUUGUCGCGUCUGCUGUGAAAUUUCGGGGCUCAACCCCGAACUUGCAGUGGGUACGGGCAGACUAGAGUGUGGUAGGGGAGACUGGAAUUCCUGGUGUAGCGGUGAAAUGCGGCAGAUAUCAGGAGGAACACCGAUGGCGAAGGCAGGUCUCUGGGCCACUACUGACGC